rnacentral:rRNA from 1 species
AACGAACGCUGGCGGCAGGCCUAACACAUGCAAGUCGAGCGGACCUUUCGGGGUCAGCGGCGGACGGGUGAGUAACGCGUGGGAAUAUGCCCUUCUCUACGGAAUAGUCCUGGGAAACUGGGGGUAAUACCGUAUACGCCCUUUGGGGGAAAGAUUUAUCGGGGAAGGAUUAGCCCGCGUUGGAUUAGGUAGUUGGUGGGGUAAUGGCCUACCAAGCCGACGAUCCGUAGCUGGUUUGAGAGGAUGAUCAGCCACACUGGGACUGAGACACGGCCCAGACUCCUACGGGAGGCAGCAGUGGGGAAUCUUAGACAAUGGGGGCAACCCUGAUCUAGCCAUGCCGCGUGAGUGAUGAAGGCCUUAGGGUUGUAAAGCUCUUUCAGCUGGAAAGAUAAUGACGGUACCAGCAGAAGAAGCCCCGGCUAACUCCGUG